rnacentral:misc_RNA from 1 species
GAUCAUUACUGUGAUUUAAACUUCUUUCUUACACCGCGUGAGCGCACAACAACACCUAAACACGAAUAACCAUGUCACCCAGAGAAAAUCUCAAACGAGAAGAAAAAAAAAAA